GACGAACGCUGGCGGCGUGCUUAACACAUGCAAGUCGAACGAUGAAGCUGGAGCUUGCUCCGGUGGAUUAGUGGCGAACGGGUGAGUAACACGUGAGUAAUCUGCCCUUGACUCUGGGAACUGCGGGAAACUGUAGCUAAUACCGGAUACGACACCUUCGGGCAUCCGAUGGGUGUGGAAAGAAUUUCGGUCAAGGAUGAACUCGCGGCCUAUCAGCUAGUUGGUGAGGUAAUGGCUCACCAAGGCGACGACGGGUAGCCGGCCUGAGAGGGUGACCGGCCACACUGGGACUGAGACACGGCCCAGACUCCUACGGGAGGCAGCAGUGGGGAAUAUUGCACAAUGGGCGAAAGCCUGAUGCAGCAACGCCGCGUGAGGGAUGAAGGCCUUCGGGUUGUAAACCUCUUUUAGUUGGGAAGAAGCGAAAGUGACGGUACCAACAGAAAAAGCACCGGCUAACUACGUGCCAGCCGCCGCAGUAAGAC
rnacentral:rRNA from 1 species